rnacentral:lncRNA from 1 species
GCCCCACGAGGAUUUAGAUGCCCCAAGAGCUUGCUAACAUUAUAACUUAUAAACUACUUUUGUUAUGCCGUGAUCAUGAGAUAAAUAAGUUGUGAUCUCGACAUAACAAAGGAUUAUUUUAUUUAUUUAUAUGUCCUCUCUGGACUUCCGUACAUAGAAACGCAUCGGGCUUAUUUUUGACAGACUUUUGGCGAGAGUAAAACUUCUCGCUUCACCUCUUCCUCUCCGAUUACAGUUAAAAAAGGACUUUGACUAACACCCCACGAUUUAUUUAUGCUACAGUGCCUUCAGAAACUAUUCAUACCACAGGAGGUUGGUGGCAAUUUCAUUGAGCUAACUCAAUUCACACCCUGGAGUCAAUACUUUGUAAAAGCACCUUUGGCAGCGAUUACAGCUGUGAGUCUUUCUGGGUUAGAUCAACAACAGGAUCUGGGGGUAACCAUGGAGGAGCACCCACUAUCCCCACAGAAUGGCCAACCUCUAACUUCCACAAACCACUCUCAUCAGCAAUCUUUCCAACUGUUGUAGGAGAAUUUCCAUGACAUAAUGGGGAUUUUCCAUUACCUAUACUAUUUUCCAGAAGCAGUAAUCAGAAUCCAUAUGCGGUAAACUAUUAGGUAUGUGUAAGCAGAAUGAAGGAUGACUUCAUGUGAGUGUACAGAGCAGCAUCAACCACAGGGUUGAUCAUGAGACAUGAAGAAACAGAACGUAAGCAGAAUCUAUGUGGACGUGGCAGGCUGGAUCAAUACAGACUUGACUGUUCUGAGUCAUGUCUCAUCCUGUGGAGACUGCUGAACAUGCAGAUGGGUUAAUCAUUCAUAGGCAACAUAGGCCUGAACUGGUGAAGUCCAGUGACUGUGUACUUUAGCCAAUCAAUACUAGAACCACAAGCCAUGUAUACAGUGGGGGGAAAAAGUAUUUGAUCCCCUGCUGAUUUUGUACGUUUGCCCACCGAUAAAGAAAGGAUCAGUCUAUAAUUUUAAUGGUAGGUUUAUUUGAACAGUGAGAGACAGAAUAACAUAAAAAAUAUCCAGAAAAACGCAUGUCAAAAAAUGUGGGAGACAUGUUCCAUACUGGAAAGACAUGUUUGUAUUAUUAAUCACGUAAUAUUAGAAAUGCACCUAUAUUAGGAACAUUUAUAUGCAACAAAUGUAUUUUUAUUUUUUUAUAUUACAACUGUGGUGUCGCCACCAAUAUAAUCUAAACUUGUGCAAGAUAAGUCAGAUGUGGACGUUAAACAAGCCAGCAUUGAGACAGAACAAUAAUGGUGGCGCAAGGCCAAGGGGUGUUAAUCAUUUACAUAGAAAGAAGUGACUAUGUAUGUUAUGAAAGAGUGGAAAUGUAUAAAAGCUGAGUACUGAGACUGGAGAGAUCAGUUCUUCCAUGGUAUUGCUCGGCUUCUGUUACUUUUGUAAUAAAGUCUAAUUGAAUUUUUACAAGUUCCGGUAUCUGAGAAAUAUUUGAUUCAAUAUUUCCACAACACUGUCCAACCAAAAACUACUGCCUUGUUUACUAGUAUAUCCACAACACUGUCCAACCAAAAACGACUGCCUUGUUUACUAGUAUAUCCACAACAGGCAUCUAGAACAGUAGCAGUGCGAUGCUCAACCUCUCAGUCUAACCCAAUUAGUUAAUGACCAUUUUUUACACCAUAUUUCCAAAGGCAUCUCACCUGCCUCUACUAGUAUGGCACUUACAUAUGUUGGUUUAAAUGCACCAAUACAUAUCUUUAAAGCUAUAUACUGGUCCAGCCAUGGUAGCCAAGUCUUCACACAUGUUCCAUAAACUAUACAACCGUAAUCAAUUGAUGUCCUGAUCAGAGCUCUAUAAAUAUCCAACAAAGAUUGGCUGUCAGCACCCAAUUCAUA